GACCAAAUAGUUGACUCGGAAGUUAUUAUCUGGUUAAACUGAAGUGGGGAUGGCAUGCGUGUGUGUAUUUUCAUUUUAAAAAGUUAACUACAGUAUAACAAUGGCAUCACUGUCCAUACUACAAUCAAUAUAGUAAUAUGUACAUUUAAGGGAAACGUAAUUAUGUUAUGAAAACGUGUAGCACUUGCAUGGCAUAGAUACUCGUGUUAGUCAGACUUUAGUGUUGGUUCAAUGUCAUCUAGUAUAGUGCGCUAAUUUAGCUAGUUGCUGUAGCUAUUUGCUUGCUAGCUAGCUUCUCAGUUAUGUGAUAAUGUGAAAGGAUUUUGCUCAUACCCGGGCCAGAAAUACUGAUUUGGUGGGCUGUAAGUUAGCUGACUGACUGCUGCCAUGACUGGACCCAGCCAUGAAUAUAACUCUGUACUUCAGCGCUGUCGACUAGGGCCUAAAGAAUGUGUGUUUCAAAAGCCCCAUGGCCCCAUUUCACUGUCUCCAUUGGCUGAGUAGUCCCUGUCUCAUCUGUGGCCCCUUCUCGGUCUCGACAAGCGUCAAGGUUCGUUCAUACCGACAGUAUAUGAAGCGGAAGAUCCAGCCCCCGCCAAGUCCUUCAUAGUCAUACCCCCAUGUCUGCCAGGUGGGUGACCUGGUGCUUCGAGUCCAGGCUGCAGUGGUGGACCCUGGGACCGCACAGGGUCCGGAGGCUCAGGAGGUGAUCCGCACCAUGGUGAAGGCCUGAAUGAGAAGGCAGAGCCUGUGACCUGGCAAGUGAGCGGGUGGCCCGCAUGCAUCCUACAGCUUCAGAUGGAUCACUUGGAUGGAGUCCGGUACAUUGACCGCAUGGACAGUAAAACCUUCAACGUGAAAUGGGCAGCAGUUUCAAACUAACCUUGUCACCCUGAUUGAGCACUAAGACAACUUCUUGGACAUAAUAUACAACAGACCAUGAAGAAACCUUUCUUACUGAUUCUUUAUUAAUAAAUGUAUUUAUGAAGCCAGA